AAAAACCAAUCCUUAAUUAUAAACAUCAUGUUUUAAAUAAAAUAAUGGUUAAGUGAAUUAAAAUAGAUAAAAAAAAUUAAGAAAGGAAAUAAAAGGGGGGUUUUAUUUUAUAUUUGAAAAAAUAGAGUUUUUGAAAUAAAUGAGUUUUAAAGUAAAGAUUAAUAGAUGCUAUAAAUUAAAGGUCAAACAAGAAUAUACUAGAAUAAAGUUAUUAGAAAAAACUAAUUAAAAUGAAAAUG
rnacentral:lncRNA from 1 species